GUAGGUGAACCUGCGGAGGGAUCAUUACAGAGUUUUUAACUCCUAAAACCAUGUGAACUUACCACUGUUGCCUCGGUGGAAGGUACCCGAAAGGGUGCCGGAAGCCGGCGGACAUCUAAACUCUUGUUAAUUUUUGUUAUUCUGAAUCAAACUAAGAAAUAAGUUAAAACUUUCAACAACGGAUCUCUUGGUUCUG
rnacentral:misc_RNA from 1 species